UACGAAGGGUGCAAGCGUUACUCGGAAUUACUGGGCGUAAAGCGUGCGUAGGCGGUUUGUUAAGUCUGUCGUGAAAGCCCCGGGCUUAACCUGGGAACUGCGUUUGAUACGGAUGGGCUAGAGUUCGGGAGAGGAGAGUGGAAUUCCCAGUGUAGAGGUGAAAUUCGUAGAUAUUGGGAAGAACACCGGUGGCGAAGGCGGCUCUCUGGACCGAGACUGACGCUGAGGCGCGAAAGCGUGGGGAGCAAACAGG
rnacentral:rRNA from 1 species